rnacentral:rRNA from 1 species
CCUACGGGUGGCAGCAGUGGGGAAUAUUGCGCAAUGGGCGAAAGCCUGUCGCAGCGACGCCGCGUGAGGGAUGAAGGUCUUCGGAUCGUAAACCUCUGUCAGCAGGGAAGAACGGUCACUGUGCUAAUCAGCAGUGAAUUGACGGUACCUGCAAAGGAAGCACCGGCUAACUCCGUGCCAGCAGCCGCGGUAAUACGGAGGGUGCGAGCGUUAAUCGGAAUUACUGGGCGUAAAGCGCUCGUAGGCGGUAUGUCAAGUCAAGGGUGAAAUCCCCGCGCUCAACGUGGGAACUGCCUUUGAAACUGGCAAACUGGAGUGUGGGAGAGGAUAGUGGAAUUCCAGGUGUAGGAGUGAAAUGCGUAGAUAUCUGGAGGAACAUCAGUGGCGAAGGCGACUAUCUGGCACAUAACUGACGCUGAGGAGCGAAAGCGUGGGUAGCAAACAGGAUUAGAUACCCGAGUAGUC